rnacentral:RNase_P_RNA from 2 species
CCAGCUGGCCGGGCGGCCGCACCUGCGAGAGCUGAAAGGCUGUGGGUGAGGAAAGUCCGGGCUCCAUGGAAACACGGUGCCGGUUAACAGCCGGCGGGGGCGACCUCAGGGAAAGUGCCACAGAGAGCAGACCGCCACGAAGUUCGUGGCAAGGGUGAAAGGGUGGGGUAAGAGCCCACCGCGCGACCGGCAACGGGAGCGGCAUGGUAAACCCCACCGGGAGCAAGACCGAAUAGGGGCGGUGCGAGGGGAAACCUUCGAGGGCUGUUUCCGGCUCACCGUCCGGGUAGGUUGCGUGAGACGCCUGGCAACAGGCGUCCAAGAUGAAUGGCCGCCACGUUCUCGCGCCGUAAGGGGCGAGGGCCAUACAAAACCCGGCUUACAGGCCAGCUGGCAUU